UACGAAGGGGGCUAGCGUUGCUCGGAAUCACUGGGCGUAAAGGGUGCGUAGGCGGGUUUUUAAGUCAGGGGUGAAAUCCUGGAGCUCAACUCCAGAACUGCCUUUGAUACUGAAGAUCUUGAGUCCGGGAGAGGUGAGUGGAACUGCGAGUGUAGAGGUGAAAUUCGUAGAUAUUCGCAAGAACACCAGUGGCGAAGGCGGCUCACUGGCCCGGUACUGACGCUGAGGCACGAAAGCGUGGGGAGCAAACGGG
rnacentral:rRNA from 1 species